UAAAAUAAAAGGAGAUCAAAAGUACGAUUUACUUCACAUUAGUUUUGUUUUUCAAUUUAUUUCGAAAAGUUAAACAAUAUGUUAAAUUCAUUCCAAUUAAAAUUGAGGCAUUAAUUGGUAGAUAUGAGGCAUUAAUUGAGGAUAGAUGACUAUAAAUUGAGCAUAAAUAUAUAUUGAAUAUCAAGAGUUUGUUGUGUGAGCAUAUCCCGGUAAUGUUUGGAGACGCCCCAAAUUUUGGUUGACCCACGGCGGCGGCGCGUCUCCUCUCCACCACGCCUGGCUGGGCGCACAGAUUGAUGUGGCCGCGGAUGAUGAUUGUGUUUCCAAAUCCAAUAACUACCGGUCUAUUGAUGAAGAGUUUGAAAUGUAUGUGAAAAGGAUUGAAAAGCCUUAUAUUAUUGCUUGUGUGCUCACAUAUUCUCAGGUGAGUGAAUUGAGUUACUGUUUUUUUUCUUCUCCUCAGAAUUCAAAAUUCACAAUAUUGCUUUGCUUUGCUAUACUUUACAUCCGAGUGUCAAAUAGUAAUUUAAUCAAAGUAGCAACCUAUGGUGCUGUGAUGAAUACACAAAGGAGGAAGACUAAGAUAAUUCGAUUAACGUUUUGUUUCAUGGAUAUGGGCAUUAUGACAGUUCUACAAGACACAGAGUAAGACUACUUUAUUACCAAAAAUGUGUUGUUACUCGAACUAUUAAAAUGCUUCGGAUUGUCUUGAUUGGUUUUUGGAUUUGCAAUUGGUCAUACAAUGUAUGUAUGAUAUCAAAUAAUUAUUUCAACAUCAGCAAGCUGUGAUAGUCAGCUUACUUAUUUUUUCUAAA